UUGUCCUACGGGGGGCAGCAGUGGGGGAUAUUGCACAAUGGGGGAAACCCUGAUGCAGCGACGCCGCGUGAGCGAUGAAGUAUUUCGGUAUGUAAAGCUCUAUCAGCAGGGAGGAAAAUGACGGUACCUGACUAAGAAGCCCCGGCUAACUACGUGCCAGCAGCCGCGGUAAUACGUAGGGGGCAAGCGUUGUCCGGAUUUACUGGGUGUAAAGGGCGUGCAGCCGGAGAGACAAGUCAGAUGUGAAAUCCACGGGCUCAACCCGUGA
rnacentral:rRNA from 1 species